GUGGCCGCGCGCCCCGCGAGCACGAGGGCUGCCGCCCGUGCAGGUGCCGCGGGCGAGCGGCUGCGGCGUCGCCACCUGUCCUCCCAACAAAUAGCCACAUACCUGGAAAACCAGUGAGUGACUGCUGGAGACGGGGCGGAGCGAGAACCUUCUCCGAGGUUGGAGUCCGAGCCGGCCGGCGUCCGUGCACGCGCUGAAACUCCUGGUUCACAACCUGUCCUGGGCAGUUCCCACACGUCAGUCAUGAACGAAGUAAUGCAGAAGGAAGUAUAAUUACGUCGUGGUCACUGCAGUGUUCUCUCGGUAGUCAGUGCAAAGUAUGCCACAAACACAUUCUGUGAAUAACGUUCUUGCGGCCAAAAUUCCAUGGAAUGAAAACAUAAUGUUACAUGAAGUAGAAUGACAAAUGCCACUCCAAUCAAUUCCACUCUAGUGCCUGGGGGCUCUAACCCCACAGGGACUUUUGGUUCUGUGUCGCUAUUCUGGAUCCUUCAAACAUGCAACAAGUCACAGAUCCUCUGAAGAUAAGAGACUGCAGGGCAAACUCGUUGAGCCAUGGUAUCAGCAAAUUAUUCCAGAGACAUCUGAAAACUGUAUUAGAAUUUUCAAAACACCCAUAGGGAUCAAAACACCACAUACAAAUUGAACAGGAAGAGAAGCUGACUUUUUAGCAUGGUCCCAGGGAGAACGAAAGAGCCCAAGGUUGCUCCUGAAUCUCAGGCCAAGGGCUAGAAUUCUCAAGCCGUGACUACCAAGAGCUUCUGGAGUCUUCCUUCGCAUCAUGCCCCAAAGUGAACAGCCUCCUGACUGGACUACAACCAGGUCAGAAGUGGAGUUCCUUUGCUGGUGGAGACUGAACUCCCACCUAGCUCCUGCUCCUGCUGCUGGGCUUGCACCCCAUGGCCUGCCGCAGCCUAGCAGGCAGAGGCAGCUUCUGAACCUGUCCUUUCCAGCCAGUUCUGCUUCACUCAGGUUAACUAGGUCAUUUCAGGCAGUGCCCCAAGAUAUGAAGUCAGCUCAAGAGGCUGACUUCUCCCAGCUGAGCGCUAACUGAAGCUAGAAAAAUAAUUCGGAUAGCUCUGUACUAAGAUUGAUGCUUCUACCUUGGUGACUACCAUGCUUUUCAAGCCUUUUUAGGACAGUUAAUAUCACACAUGCUAUUUACUGAUCAAAUCAAGACUGUUAUUAUAGAGUCACUGAAAAUCUUAAUUUUGGAAAAUACUUCACGUUUUAGGAAAAUAGUCAUGAUUUAAUGUUUGAGAGAAAAGCAGGAUACAGAGCUAUAUAAAGCUGUAUGAGCUCAUUGUGGCAGACAUCAUGUGGGAUUUUGGUGGCUCAGCAUCUAAAACUCCCAACCCCACUUUGGGGAAUUUCCCACCACAUGAUUCUUCAUGUGCAGUGAAGGCCUCCUACCUUUACAGAGGCAAGGGAUUAAGAACCUUUACAUCAUUAUCCCCUGACAGCCAGAGUAGACAUAUAACCUGGACUUGAUCAAGCUGUACACUGACCCAGACUGGGAACUGGGAACCAGUGACCCACGAAAGCAAGGAUGGCGAAAACUCAUCCCAUCAGUGAGACAGCACUAUUUCUGGGGACAGCAGGACCAGCAGCAUCUCCAUUAGAGUCUGGGCUGCCUGUGGCAAAAGUACUGGCUUCAGUGAAAGGUCUUUACUGAGGCAGCAUGGGUGCCUCACCAGAAAAAUUCUAUGGUACUAUCUGGUUUUCAACCUCCCUUGGUCACGUCUACUCCUACUUUUUUCCCAGGACUGUCCCCCAGGCUUUCUGAGCUGUGAAUUUUUGAGCUACCAAAUAUCUUUUCAAUAAAUUCCUUUCUACUUAAAGGAAUGGCCACUCUUUUUGUGGCUUGCAGGCUAAGAACCCUGAUUAGUACACCAAUAUUAUUUAAAAUUCAAAAGAAAAGAUGUACACCAAAUGUUAAUAAUGGUUAUCUUUAGGUGAGUGUGAUCACAGAUAAUUUUAAUUUUCUUUUUUCACAUGCAUUUUCUAAAAAUUUUAGUAAAAUGGUAUUACCUUAGUAGUCAGAAAAUAAGUAAAUUUUUAAAUUUGAGAUUGUUUUGGAUCUCUGGUGUCCUUAAUCAAAUUAACUUGACUACUCAGAUGGAAUCCAUUUUGCUUCUAUCAGAAUAAGGUACCUGGUGACAUCAACGUUGGCCCAGGAAAUCAUAAGUAUUGGGGUAAGAGAAAUGCCAAUAUAUUUUAUUCAGAAAAAUUUCUGAGACUUGUUCUUAUUUUUCAGUCAUGAUCUACACAUUUUUUGCUUGUUUGUUUUAGAAUUCAAGGGUCCUCUGAAAGUUGGCCUGAGAAAAAUGGACUAUGUUUAGGGAAGUUUAAUACAACCCAAAGCUAAAAAUGCUUUUUAGCAUUUAUGUUUAUAAAAGUGUGGAUAAGCACAGUAA